rnacentral:lncRNA from 1 species
UGUCCCAUCCUUCAACAGAAACUGGAGUCCCUUGAUGUUAGUCAGCUUGUGGCUGAACCAACGGGGGGAAGAGGGUGGAGAGGCAAGCCAUGGGGUUGGGCUCCAUAUAGGAGCCCGGCUUCUUCAGUCUUCUGCGCCAGGGACCAGCUGGUCACAUUAUCCUUCCCCUGAACUGAUCUUUUCCCUGAAACCUUGGCUUGGAUCGCUUCCUGCAAACGAUGUGUAAUCUGCAUGUAUGCCAGUCACAGGACAUCUCCUCUGCUGGCAGUGUGCAAGGCCAAGGCAACAGUGAAACCAUCUCAUUAAUGAUUCAGCAUGCCACCCUAGUGGCCACUGGAGCGCACAGUCCACGUGUAGAUCUGAAGUGGGUGUUCGGCUCCUUGCCUUGGCUCCCUGGGAGAGACGCUCUUACCCCGGGCUGCAUGUGAGAACCCCCUGGAACAUGAACCAUUACAUUCAGAUUCCGCGGGCCAGAGGCAGGCCCAGGUGGCCCUACCUUCCCGCUCCCCAUGUGGUUUGAUCUGCAGCCAGGGCAAAGCGCCCCCGCUUGGGGAGAGCUUGCGUGCAAGCCCCGUCCAUGACCUCACACCCCUGCCCACAUUCUCUUGCUGGAGGGAAGACUUCUUGCCCUCCCAGAAGAAAAGCAAAAGGGAUUCUUGGGGAUUAGAGUCAGGGAUGUAAUUUUCUUAGUUUGUGGCAAAUCUUUAUCUUUCUGUAAAGCAAAUACCACAAAAAGUAUGGAACACUGAAAAAAAAAUCACUCUUGCUGGUGUUUUUGUAGCGGUACUGGCUCAGCAGCCUGGGCAACCAUGCAGACUUACUGCUUUUGUUUCUGCUAGAACCUUUAUGUGACCCUCAGGAAAAUAGGAUGCUGCGGUUUUGACCUCUGUGGGUUUCUCUAUUGAACCGGUCCUCAGAGCCAGAGGAUUCAGAGCCGGGUCCGGGGUUCUGCUCUUGGCAGUUAUCAAGAACGUGAUGGGAGGAAACUUGUCAGAGACAAAGCGCUUCUCAUAGAAGAGGUGGUAUUCUGAAAGGAAGGAUGUGCCCAGUCCUGGCCUGCACAGGCCAGUCGGCAGCAUGCCCCUUGCUUUCCAGGUAGGUAGACCAUGUAUUUUUUUAAGAUUUUGUUUAUUUAUUUAUUUGACAGAGAGAAAGCGUGAGAGCGCCCAAGGGGGAGCAGUAGAGGGAGAGGAAGUAGCAGGUUCCCUGUUGAGCAGGGAGCCUAGCAUGGGGUUCAAUUCCAUGACCCUGGGAUCAUGAUUUGAGCCAAGGGCAGAUGCUUAACUGACUGAGCUACCCAAGUGCCCCAAAGAAAGGCCAGAUUUUGAUUACUCUGCCUGUUGAGGGC